GAUGAACGCUGGCGGCGUGCUUAACACAUGCAAGUCGAGCGAGAAAAGUUCUUCGGAGCUUUUCUAGCGGCGGACGGGUGAGUAACACGUGGGCAACCUGCCUCAUAGAGGGGAAUAGCCUUCCGAAAGGAAGAUUAAUACCGCAUAAUAUUGUUGAAAGGCAUCUUUUAACAAUCAAAGGAGCAAUCCGCUAUGAGAUGGGCCCGCGGCGCAUUAGCUAGUUGGUGAGGUAACGGCUCACCAAGGCGACGAUGCGUAGCCGACCUGAGAGGGUGAUCGGCCACAUUGGAACUGAGACACGGUCCAGACUCCUACGGGAGGCAGCAGUGGGGAAUAUUGCACAAUGGGGGAAACCCUGAUGCAGCAACGCCGCGUGAGUGAUGAAGGUCUUCGGAUUGUAAAGCUCUGUCUUUAGGGACGAUAAUGACGGUACCUAAGGAGGAAGCCACGGCUAACUACGUGCCAGCCGCCGCCGUAAUAC
rnacentral:rRNA from 1 species